AGAGUUUGAUCAUGGCUCAGAAUCAACGCUGGCGGCAUGCCUAACACAUGCAAGUCGAACGCGGUUUCCUCGCAAGGGGAAACUGAGUGGCGAACGGGUGAGUAACGCGUGGGUGACCUACCUUCGAGUGGGGGAUAACGUCCCGAAAGGGACGCUAAUACCGCAUGACAUCCUGCCUUUGAAUAGGUGGAGAUCAAAGCCGGGGAUCGCAAGACCCGGCGCUUGAUGAGGGGCCCGCGUCCGAUUAGCUAGUUGGUGGGGUAACGGCUCACCAAGGCAACGAUCGGUAUCCGGCCUGAGAGGGCGGACGGACACACUGGGACUGAGACACGGCCCAGACUCCUACGGGAGGCAGCAGUGGGGAAUUGUUCACAAUGGGCGCAAGCCUGAUGACGCAAUGCCGCGUGGAGGAUGAAGGUCUUCGGAUUGUAAACUCCUGUUGCCAGGGACGAAUGGCUCCGACCUAAUACGUCGGAGUAUGACGGUACCUGGUGAGGAAGCCCCGGCUAACUCUGUGCCAGCAGCCGCGGUAAUACAGGGGGGGCAAGCGUUGUUCGGAAUUACUGGGCGUAAAGGGCGCGUAGGCGGCCUUCUAAGUCGAACGUGAAAUCCCCGGGCUCAACCCGGGAACUGCGUCCGAUACUGGGAGGCUUGAAUCCGGGAGAGGGAUGUGGAAUUCCAGGUGUAGCGGUGAAAUGCGUAGAUAUCUGGAGGAACACCGGUGGCGAAGGCGGCAUCCUGGACCGGUAUUGACGCUGAGGCGCGAAAGCUAGGGGAGCAAACGGGAUUAGAUACCCUAGUAGUCC
rnacentral:rRNA from 1 species